rnacentral:piRNA from 1 species
UGCACAUGUGAGUGAUUGGACUGGGC